rnacentral:lncRNA from 1 species
CUGUCACCUAGAGUGUUUUGUGGUUCUAAAUCCUUCUGAAGCCAUUUUUGCCUAAUAUAAAAUCCAGGUCACUGGGAAAUUAACCAAAAUGUGUCUUUCUCACCUUUUGUUUUUCCAUGACCAAAAAUGCCUUCAGGGUUGGCUUCAUUAGUCAUUGUAGUACCCAGGCUUUUUCAUGCUUGCAGAUUUCGGUUCUGCUGGUAUUUUCACAUUUACAGGGUUCAUAAUCAGUGCUCCAGUGGAGUUUAGGCCUCUAAAUACCGUUCGAAGAUAUGGAGACAAAGCACCUGACUAAUUAUGAAAAGACCACUUUGCUUGUGUCUGAACCUUCCAGCACCAAAAAUGCUUUUAAAGGAUUGGUCACGAGCAUCCUGCACGAAGCAGUGGAGCACUUUCAGCUCCUCUGAAAUGGAGGAUGUUCACCACAUGCCAGGAUCACGUCUCGACAUUCAGAGCCCUGCCUUCGUGAGGUACAGAGUUCCGGAGGGAAAGGUCUUCAGCACACUAGCAGACAAACGUACAGAGCUCUGCCAUCAAAGCCGUCCCUCUUCUUUUGGAGAGCACUUUGGCAGUGACGUUAUCUAUGCCUCAGCACUGCUCAUUCUCUCUUGUCUUCAGUGAAUUUAUGCAGCUAGGGGUAGGACAGAGCUAGAUUUGCUGAGCUUUACCAAAAUGACUGUGUGUACGUGCUUAACUCUUUAACAAAUGAAUCAAUGUGCACUUUUGCCCAGUUUUGCAACAUUCUUGCAAGAUCCAUGAAACUCAGAAGUUUAAGAGAAAGUGCACUGUAACUUGCCACUUUUAAAUGAUGUGAAUUAAGAUCAGGAUGUCAAUGUCAUUCUAUUUUCCUGUCUUUUGUCACUUCUGACACAGCCUUGAUGGAUCUUUAAAUAUAGGUUGUUUUGUAUUUAAAGUUCCUUGUUUUUUCCUUCUUUUAUGAAAAAUCUUUUAUGGUAGGUUAUAUAACCUGUACUAUUAUUUAGCAAGUAGAGAAGGUAGCUUUUAAAUGUUUUACACAUCUUGCUAAAGAUUUCUCAUAACUGAAUCAACUGCAAGAAAUAUUUAGGCAGUUUUACAGGCACAGUAAGUGUGUUGAGUUUGGGCUGGUGAAAAAAAAAAAAAAGCCUUGUGAAAUAUCGCAGAGAGGCUAAGGGCUGCAAAGUGUCUCAUCCAUUCUUUUUCUUCUAUGAAGUGGUUAUUUCGGUCCUAUUGAUUCAGAGCUAGUCUGCUUUUACUUACAUUUAAAAUCUUAGGUCUAAAAUGAACAGAACAAUGUGUGCCUAUAUAUGUAUAUUAGAGGAUAGGUUAAAAAAAAAAAAAAGGAAAUUUUAAUUUCCAGUUAAGAUUGUCUAACCCACUCGCAGACUCUGGUGAUCUUUUUAUAGCUGAGCCAUAACCUUAAUACAGAGACUUAUCAGUGCCAGAGGUCCUUUAAUAACAGGUCCAAUCCUGAGGCCAUUUGGUAUGUAACCCCCCAGAUUUCCUGUCUGCAAUGACUGUAGCUGAAGAGCAACAGGGCUGUGCCUAUUGCUGCAACUUAUUACACUUUAAUUUGAGACCAAGCUACCAGGUCACCAUACUUGGUCAGCUGUGUACUCACAAACACACAUGCGCGCGCACACAUGUUCGCAAAAAUAAAGGUGUGAAGCUCUUUGACA